UAUAGGAGCCCAUAGGAGUAUAUGAAACUUCCCAUUACGUGUAGGCACAUGUGACUGGGCAGGGCCAAACUCACAUAUGCUAAUCUCUGAAAGCUGAUUGGUCACUCAGGCUCAGCCAAUCAGUAUACAAGAGCAACAGCCAAAAGGCUAAAUUUGUAGUGGGAUCGGGACCUUGAGGAAGAACAAGAAGCUGUGAGAUACCUGCAAGGAAGAAGCCACCUCAGAAGCAGCAGCAGUAGAACUCUGCAAAGAAGCAGCUGCUUGUAAAGGAGCAAUAAAAGCAGCAGCAGCAGCAAUCAUGGAAUUCCAAAGUGGUCCUGGACAACAGCUGUUCCAGCUACCCAGCCAGCAGGAGGCCACCACAGCAGCAGCAGCCAAGCGGGCUUCAUAUCUGCCACCAGAAACCAGUGUUCACCUCAGUGGCAGCUCCUCACCUCCGAAAUAGCCGCAGCUUGCAGGGAGGAAGCCACUGGCUGGAGCAGACAGCACUCUGUUACUGACAGAACAGAAGGACCAUUUAAUAGAUGAAUAAGAGGGACACAAAGGGAAGGAGUACAGAGGCAGACAAAAAUUUAUUUCAAAUAGGACUUGUGUGAUAUUAGCUUAUGGACAUAAGACAAAAAUGGAUCCACCAAGGUUUUAGGCAGGUAUACUGACGUUAACAAGAAUGAAGAUCAUGCAUAGACAUCAGCAUCAGAACAAGGAGCUGCUGCAGAAAUCCUGCUGGGCUUUGAUCGAGCAAGGAGCUUCAGAGAUGGUUUGUAGCUUCACUGGAGCCAGGGGAAAGACUAUUGCUGUGCCUGGAGCUGACUGAGGUGGGUCUGCCAUGAAGGAGCUGUGAGUAACCCCUACUCAUGUUUGGGAAAGUACUUGCAAGGGAAGGGGCACAGCAGAGAGACUGAGUCUGAAAAGAGGCAGAGUGAUCUUCCUAUCGGACCAGGACCAAGAGCUGCUGAUAUUUGGUGGGGCUAACUCCAAUCUUCAGAGGGGUUGUGCAGCUUGUUGCCUUGGCUGGGAUGAUACACAGAACCAACAGAGUGCUGUCUCCAGCUUCAGAUCUUCAAGCACGUCCACGCAAGCGUCUAGGACUCUGAAAUCCCAAGGAGCUGCACUCCGGGGUGGGGUAAAUGGUGACAGUGUAAAUGCCAGUUAGAUAAGUUUCAUUUAUUACUCUACACUAUAUUUAUUAAUUGAUCUUAUUCAACUGUCCCCUGUGGAUUUAAAUUAGUAGUGGCAUUUAAUCUCAGUCAGUUAAGAAACUCUGUUUCUUUAAGUAGUUAAGUAAAGGUACGUUAACUCUAAUAUUAGUAUAUUGGAUGUAUAUUAUUUGUAAUUGGUAUUUUUGACUUAGACCCAUGCCACAGAUUAUUGUUACUACUAUUACAACAAUAGGUUUAUUCCUGAAGGUUCCCAAGGCACGCCAUUGAGUGUGUACAGGGGCCAGCCAG